rnacentral:rRNA from 1 species
GGGUUGUGAGGUUAAGCGACUAAGCGUACACGGUGGAUGCCCUGGCAGUCAGAGGCGAUGAAGGACGUGCUAAUCUGCGAUAAGCGCCGGUAAGGUGAUAUGAACCGUUAUAACCGGCGAUUUCCGAAUGGGGAAACCCAGUGUGACUCGUCACACUAUCAUUAACUGAAUCCAUAGGUUAAUGAGGCGAACCGGGGGAACUGAAACAUCUAAGUACCCCGAGGAAAAGAAAUCAACCGAGAUUCCCCCAGUAGCGGCGAGCGAACGGGGAGGAGCCCAGAGCCUGAAUCAGCAUGUGUGUUAGUGGAAGCGUCUGGAAAGGCGCGCGAUACAGGGUGACAGCCCCGUACACAAAAGCGCAUGUGCUGUGAGCUCGAUGAGUAGGGCGGGACACGUGGUAUCCUGUCUGAAUAUGGGGGGACCAUCCUCCAAGGCUAAAUACUCCUGACUGACCGAUAGUGAACCAGUACCGUGAGGGAAAGGCGAAAAGAACCCCGGCGAGGGGAGUGAAAAAGAACCUGAAACCGUGUACGUACAAGCAGUGGGAGCACCCUUUGGGGUGUGACUGCGUACCUUUUGUAUAAUGGGUCAGCGACUUAUAUUCUGUAGCAAGGUUAACCGAAUAGGGGAGCCGGAGGGAAACCGAGUCUUAAUUGGGCGUUAAGUUGCAGGGUAUAGACCCGAAACCCGGUGAUCUAGCCAUGGGCAGGUUGAAGGUUGGGUAACACUAACUGGAGGACCGAACCGACUAAUGUUGAAAAAUUAGCGGAUGACCUGUGGCUGGGGGUGAAAGGCCAAUCAAACCGGGAGAUAGCUGGUUCUCCCCGAAAGCUAUUUAGGUAGCGCCUCGUGAAUUCAUCUCCGGGGGUAGAGCACUGUUUCGGCUAGGGGGCCAUCCCGGCUUACCAACCCGAUGCAAACUGCGAAUACCGGAGAAUGUUAUCACGGGAGACACACGGCGGGUGCUAACGUCCGUCGUGAAGAGGGAAACAACCCAGACCGCCAGCUAAGGUCCCAAAGUCAUGGUUAAGUGGGAAACGAUGUGGGAAGGCCCAGACAGCCAGGAUGUUGGCUUAGAAGCAGCCAUCAUUUAAAGAAAGCGUAAUAGCUCACUGGUCGAGUCGGCCUGCGCGGAAGAUGUAACGGGGCUAAACCAUGCACCGAAGCUGCGGCAGCGACACUCAGGUGUUGUUGGGUAGGGGAGCGUUCUGUAAGCCUGCGAAGGUGGCCUGUGAGGGUUGCUGGAGGUAUCAGAAGUGCGAAUGCUGACAUAAGUAACGAUAAAGCGGGUGAAAAGCCCGCUCGCCGGAAGACCAAGGGUUCCUGUCCAACGUUAAUCGGGGCAGGGUGAGUCGACCCCUAAGGCGAGGCCGAAAGGCGUAGUCGAUGGGAAACGGGUUAAUAUUCCCGUACUUGGUGUUACUGCGAAGGGGGGACGGAGAAGGCUAUGUUGGCCGGGCGACGGUUGUCCCGGUUUAAGCGUGUAGGCUGGUUUUCCAGGCAAAUCCGGAAAAUCAAGGCUGAGGCGUGACGACGAGGCACUACGGUGCUGAAGCAACAAAUGCCCUGCUUCCAGGAAAAGCCUCUAAGCAUCAGGUAACACGAAAUCGUACCCCAAACCGACACAGGUGGUCAGGUAGAGAAUACCAAGGCGCUUGAGAGAACUCGGGUGAAGGAACUAGGCAAAAUGGUGCCGUAACUUCGGGAGAAGGCACGCUGACAUGUAGGUGAAGUGAUUUACUCAUGGAGCUGAAGUCAGUCGAAGAUACCAGCUGGCUGCAACUGUUUAUUAAAAACACAGCACUGUGCAAACACGAAAGUGGACGUAUACGGUGUGACGCCUGCCCGGUGCCGGAAGGUUAAUUGAUGGGGUCAGCGCAAGCGAAGCUCCUGAUCGAAGCCCCGGUAAACGGCGGCCGUAACUAUAACGGUCCUAAGGUAGCGAAAUUCCUUGUCGGGUAAGUUCCGACCUGCACGAAUGGCGUAAUGAUGGCCAGGCUGUCUCCACCCGAGACUCAGUGAAAUUGAACUCGCUGUGAAGAUGCAGUGUACCCGCGGCAAGACGGAAAGACCCCGUGAACCUUUACUAUAGCUUGACACUGAACAUUGAGCCUUGAUGUGUAGGAUAGGUGGGAGGCUUUGAAGUGUGGACGCCAGUCUGCAUGGAGCCGACCUUGAAAUACCACCCUUUAAUGUUUGAUGUUCUAACGUGGACCCGUGAUCCGGGUUGCGGACAGUGUCUGGUGGGUAGUUUGACUGGGGCGGUCUCCUCCUAAAGAGUAACGGAGGAGCACGAAGGUUGGCUAAUCCUGGUCGGACAUCAGGAGGUUAGUGCAAUGGCAUAAGCCAGCUUGACUGCGAGCGUGACGGCGCGAGCAGGUGCGAAAGCAGGUCAUAGUGAUCCGGUGGUUCUGAAUGGAAGGGCCAUCGCUCAACGGAUAAAAGGUACUCCGGGGAUAACAGGCUGAUACCGCCCAAGAGUUCAUAUCGACGGCGGUGUUUGGCACCUCGAUGUCGGCUCAUCACAUCCUGGGGCUGAAGUAGGUCCCAAGGGUAUGGCUGUUCGCCAUUUAAAGUGGUACGCGAGCUGGGUUUAGAACGUCGUGAGACAGUUCGGUCCCUAUCUGCCGUGGGCGCUGGAGAACUGAGGGGGGCUGCUCCUAGUACGAGAGGACCGGAGUGGACGCAUCACUGGUGUUCGGGUUGUCAUGCCAAUGGCACUGCCCGGUAGCUAAAUGCGGAAGAGAUAAGUGCUGAAAGCAUCUAAGCACGAAACUUGCCCCGAGAUGAGUUCUCCCUGAGACUUUAGGUCUCCUGAAGGAACGUUGAAGACGACGACGUUGAUAGGCCGGGUGUGUAAGCGCAGCGAUGCGUUGAGCUAACCGGUACUAAUGAACCGUGAGGCUUAACCUUACAACGCCGAAG